GGGGAUGUGGUCCAGAUGGUCAAGAUACUCCGCGCUUUUACAAGGAGCUUGCUCCGAACCUCUGUAUACUGCGGAAGUGAUACUGGUUCGAGUCCGGUCAUCUCCA